UCCUUGGUGGUCGAGUGGUUAAGACUCUGCAUUUCCAAUGCAGGGGGCACAGGUUUGAUCCCUGGUCUGGGAG
rnacentral:tRNA from 1 species